GAUGAACGCUGGCGGCGUGCCUAACACAUGCAAGUCGAACGGGGUUAAGCGAAAUUUUCGGAUGGAGCUUAACUUAGUGGCGGACGGGUGAGUAACGCGUGGAUAACCUGCCUCACACUGGGGGAUAGCAGCUGGAAACGGCUGGUAAUACCGCAUAAGACCACGGCACCGCAUGGUGCAGGGGUAAAAGAUUUAUCGGUGUGAGAUGGAUCCGCGUCUGAUUAGCCAGUUGGCGGGGUAACGGCCCACCAAAGCGACGAUCAGUAGCCGGCCUGAGAGGGUGAACGGCCACAUUGGGACUGAGACACGGCCCAA
rnacentral:rRNA from 1 species